AGUCACCUCGGCUCUUCCUCAGCCCCGGGAGGUACAGAAUUGGCGAGACAGCCAUGCAAACGCUUUUCGUUAGAGGAGAGCUGGACGUUCCAUCUCGGGACUCCCUCUGCCGGCCGGGGAAGGACCAGGCCCACUGUCCUCCCUGCCUUCUCGGGCUCUUCGGACUCUCUGCCCUGCAGGGAAAGACUCGAGCCGAAAGCCCCAUCUCUGACCCUAGCAACUCAUACCCUUCUGGCUUCCCUUUAGCAAAGCGCCUGGACGUCAUCCCCUCUUCAGAUACCCCAGGCCUCGUCCUGGUAGAGACACCACCGCGGGCCACCUCCCGGCCCCCGCCCUUAGACACGGCUCUGGCCCUUCCAGUCAGAAUGGACAGCGUUUUAUUUGCUCCCGUUCACUCUCCUGACGUUCUUUUCCCCUCUCCCCACCCUCCCUCUCAAGGGCCCCCAGCUGGAGGGACCUCAGGGGCCACCCCCUGCUUGGGGAGGCAGCCACCCCUUCCCUUAUGAAGCGGUGUCCUCACCGCCCGCCCCCCGCAACUACAUUGGAGAGGCGCUCCCCUGCCCUCUUCCAGGGAACUUCCUUCUCCAUCAGGGCCAAGUCUGAGACUGAGCUAGCCUUCCAAGAGUAGAGCUGCAGUAUGCUUCAACCUGUGAUCUCCGUUAACAAGGCCACUGGCUUGACUAUUGCAGGAGAGCCUGAUAAGAUGUGACCCCACCUCUUUGCUGUGAGAGCUCCUCUCCACCACUUCGUCCCAGGUGACCUGGGUACAGUGUACACCAAGAGAUCAUGAGACAUGCAUGCCAAGUGGGGGAGCUGAUGUCAAUCCACACAUAAAAGUUUAUAGGACAGGUAAAGACACCUAACCAGAUCCUGCUGUCAUCUACAUUGACAAGCCAUGGAAGGAAAUAGAGUGCCAGCAGCAGACCCAGUUUGCCUGACAUCUGACUGUACAGUGUACUCAUGUCUUAAGGGUGACUGCAUGGAUUAUGUCUAAGCGUGCAUUAGUUUGCUCAGCUGCCAUAACAAAAUACCACAUACUGGGUGGCUUAAACAACAGAAAUUUAUUUUCUCACAGUUCUGGAGGCUAGAAGUAUAGGCUCAAGGUGCCAGCAUGGUCAAGUUCUAGUGAGGGCUGUCUUCCUGGCUUGCCGAUGGCUGCCUUCUGGCUGUGUGUUCACAAGAGGGGGCCAUUUCUGGGGCGGGAUACAAGAGGAAGAGAGACAGUUCUCUCUUCCUUAUCUUAUAAGGCCAUCGUCCUUUCAACUUAGGGCCCCAUGCUUGUGACCUCAUUUAACUUUAUUUCCCUCCUAAAGGCCUUAUCCCAGAAACAGUCACAUCGUGAGUUAGGGCUUUUACAUACUCAUUUUGAUGGGCUACAAUUCAGUCUAUAACAAAGUGUCACUAAGGUACCACAGUCUAAUGGCCAAAGAGAAUGGGACAUGAUUAAACUUUAACAGGCUUCUAAACUUCAAUAGUUUGUUUUCCUGAAGGACCUCCCACAUUUUCCCCUUUCUGAUGACAGUUACAUCUGGUUAUGAAGUUUCCCUCUGGGCCUUAGUACCAAGGAGCUCUGAUCCCCAGCCCCAUCCCAGUAACUAACGUGGUCCUUAUUAGUGGAAUUGUUGCCGUCUACCCUGUUUUCAUUUGUCCCUUUUUGUUAGCCCAACCCCCCGACCCCCAGGUAAAGUAGAACUAAACAAGUAGACAA